UACAGAGGUCUCAAGCGUUGUUCGGAUUCAUUGGGCGUAAAGGGUGCGUAGGCGGCGCGGUAAGUCGGAUGUGAAAUCUCGGGGCUUAACUCCGAAACUGCAUUCGAUACUGCCGUGCUUGAGGACUGGAGAGGAGACUGGAAUUCACGGUGUAGCAGUGAAAUGCGUAGAGAUCGUAAGGAAGACCAGUGGCGAAGGCGGGUCUCUGGACAGUUCCUGACACUGAGGCACGAAGGCCAGGGGAGCAAACGGG
rnacentral:rRNA from 1 species